rnacentral:rRNA from 1 species
GCGCGAAACCUCCGCAAUGCGGGAAACCGCGACGGGGGGACCCCGAGUGCCGUGGCAUCGCCACGGCUUUUCCGGAGUGUAAAAAGCUCCGGGAAUAAGGGCUGGGCAAGGCCGGUGGCAGCCGCCGCGGUAAUACCGGCGGCCCGAGUGGUGGCCGCUAUUAUUGGGCCUAAAGCGUCCGUAGCCGGGCCCGUAAGUCCCUGGCGAAAUCCCACGGCUCAACCGUGGGGCUUGCUGGGGAUACUGCGGGCCUUGGGACCGGGAGAGGCGGGGGGUACCCCUGGGGUAGGGGUGAAAUCCUAUAAUCCCAGGGGGACCGCCAGUGGCGAAGGCGCCCCGCUGGAACGGGUCCGACGGUGAGGGACGAAGGCCAGGGGAGCAAACCGGAUUAGAUACCCGGGUAGUCCUGGCUGUAAAGGAUGCGGGCUAGGUGUCGGGUGAGCUUCGGGCUCGCCCGGUGCCGUAGGGAAGCCGUUAAGCCCGCCGCCUGGGGAGUACGGCCGCAAGGCUGAAACU